CUCCCGCCGGCGACCGGCGCACGGGUGAGUAACACGUAUGAAACCUGCCCGUAGCAGGGAGAUAAGCGGAAGAAAUUCCGUCUAAUACCGCGUAACAACCCGAGGAGGCAUCUCCUCGGGUUUAAAGGAAGCGAUUCCGGCUACGGAUGGUCAUGCGUCGCAUUAGCUAGUUGGCGGGGUAACGGCCCACCAAGGCGACGAUGCGUAGGGGUUCUGAGAGGAAGGUCCCCCACACUGGUACUGAGACACGGACCAGACUCCUACGGGAGGCAGCAG
rnacentral:rRNA from 1 species